ACAGGGUUCAAUGUUAAGUCUGGUUCCUCUUCCAAAGAUUAUCUUUUUCUUAUUCACACAACAUGAAGCAUCGUAACACAAACUCAGAGACAAACUCAACCAAACUUCAUGCAGAAAAAUUCGCUUUUUGACGUUUUUUUGUCACAUUUUUGCCGCUUUCUUGAGGUUUUAUUGUCAUUAUUUUUGUCGUUUUUGUCGCUUAAAUCAUUUCCAUCACUGUCAGCAUCUUUUUAUUUCUCUUUUCUUAUCUGCUGCUCUGGUUUUAUAAAUAU